GGUGGAAACAACUUCAGGUAUUCUUGGGGUUCCCCACAAGCAAGAGUUUCCCAGGAAAAAAGAGCCCUACCUGGAAGCUAUGGGGCUCUGGCUGCACACUAGGUCUUUCUCUGCCAUCACUGUGUGCUCAGGACAACAGAGAGGCCUCCACAAGGGAGUCACUAUCCAGGGCACGGACACCAAAUGCAGCCUAUGCCUCUCCAAGAUGAUCCCCCAUUUGCCUCUUGGUCUGAACAUUGCCAUGCCUCCCCUUCCUUGAUCAGAUGCCCUAUAGAAGUGGGCAGCAGACAGCUGUGGAAGCCCAGGAUCUUGAAUGUGCAAAGGAGCUGGAAUUUGGAAGUGUCUCUUCUUCCAAAAUCCAGGUGGAUGGUUCUGGGUACGUGGCUGGUAUUUAAUAAAUG